rnacentral:rRNA from 1 species
CCUACGGGUGGCAGCAGUGAGGAAUAUUGGUCAAUGGCCGAGAGGCUGAACCAGCCAAGUCGCGUGAGGGAAGAAUGUUCUAUGGAUUGUAAACCUCUUUUGUCAGGGAGCAAAGUCACCCACGUGUGGGUGUUGGAGAGUAUCUGUAGAAAAAGCAUCGGCUAACUCCGGGCAAGCAGCCGGGGUAAUACGGAGGAGGCGAGCGUUAUCCGGAUUUAUUGGGUUAAAGGGGUGCGUAGGCGGGUUAUCAAGUCAGCGGUAAAAUCGUGGGGCUCAACUCCAUCCAGCCGUGGAAACUGAUGAUCUUGAGUGGGCGAGAAGUAUGCGGAAUGCGUGGUGUAGCGGUGAAAUGCAUAGAUAUCACGCAGAACUCCGAUUGCGAAGGCAGCAUACCGGCGCCCGACUGACGCUGAAGCACGAAGGCGUGGGGAUCGAACAGGAUUAGAUACCCCAGUAGUC